GGUGCUGUGGCUCAAGUGGUAGAGCGCUAGCCUUGAGCUGACUCAAGGCCCUGGGUUCAAUUCCUCAGCACCA
rnacentral:tRNA from 1 species